GGGUCAGUAGCUCAGCCGGUAGAGCAGUUGCCUCUUAAGCAAUUGGUCGUGGGUUCAAGUCCCACCUGACCCACCA
rnacentral:tRNA from 1 species